GCCGGAGGGUGCAAGCGUUAUCCGGAAUGACUGGGCGUAAAGGGUGCGCAGGUGGCGGAACAAGUCUGCUGUCAAAGCCCGCAGCUUAACCGUAGAAUGGCCGUUGAAACUGCACCGCUGGAGUCCGGAUCGGGUAGAGGGAAUGUCGAAUGUAGCGGUGAAAUGCGUAGAGAUUGGCAAGAACACCAGUGGCGAAGGCACUCUGCUGGGCUGCAACUGACACUGAGGCACGAAAGCGUGGGGAGCAAAAAGG
rnacentral:rRNA from 1 species